AGCAGCCGCGGUAAUUCCAGCUCCAAUAGCGUAUAUUAAAGUUGUUGCAGUUAAAAAGCUCGUAGUUGAAUUUCGGGAUCAAUUAAUUGGUCGUGCCUCUGGUACGUACUGGUUUUAUUGGUUUCUCCCUUCUGACGAACCAUGAUGUCAUUAAUUUGGUGUCGUGGAGAAUCAGGACUGUUACUUUGAAAAAUUAGAGUGUUUAAAGCAAGCUAACGCUUGAAUACAUUAGCAUGGAAUAAUGAAAUAGGACGUUUGAUCCUAUUUUGUUGGUUUCUAGGAUCGACGUAAUGAUUAAUAGGGAUAGUUGGGGGCAUUAGUAUUCAAUUGUCAGAGGUGAAAUUCUUGGAUUUAUUGAAGACUAACUACUGCGAAAGCAUUUGCCAAGGAUGUUUUCAUUAAUCAAGAACGAAAGUUAGGGGAUCGAAGACGAUCAGAUACCGUCGUAGUCUUAACUAUAAACUAUGCCGACUAGGGAUCGGAUGAUGUUUAAUUUUUUAAUGUACUCAUUCGGCGCCUU
rnacentral:rRNA from 1 species